rnacentral:rRNA from 1 species
GCUUACACAUGCAAGUCGAACGGAAAGGCUCCAGCUUGCUGGAGUACUCGAGUGGCGAACGGGUGAGUAACACGUGGGUAAUCUGCCCUGCACUCUGGGAUAAGCCUGGGAAACUGGGUCUAAUACUGGAUAUGACCUUUCUCCUUAUGGGGUUUGGUGGAAAGUUUUUCGGUGUAGGAUGAGCCCGCGGCCUAUCAGCUUGUUGGUGGGGUGAUGGCCUACCAAGGCGACGACGGGUAGCCGGCCUGAGAGGGUGAUCGGCUACAUUGGGACUGAGAUACGGCCCAGACUCCUACGGGAGGCAGCAGUGGGGAAUAUUGCACAAUGGGCGGAAGCCUGAUGCAGCGACGCCGCGUGAGGGAUGACGGCCUUCGGGUUGUAAACCUCUUUCAGCAGGGACGAAGCGUAAGUGACGGUACCUGCAGAAGAAGCACCGGCUAACUACGUGCCAGCAGCCGCGGUAAUACGUAGGGUGCGAGCGUUGUCCGGAAUUACUGGGCGUAAAGAGCUCGUAGGCGGUUUGUCACGUCGUCUGUGAAAUCCUAGGGCUUAACCCUGGACGUGCAGGCGAUACGGGCUGACUUGAGUACUACAGGGGAGACUGGAAUUUCUGGUGUAGCGGUGGAAUGCACAGAUAUCAGGAAGAACACCGAUGGCGAAGGCAGGUCUCUGGGUAGUAACUGACGCUGAGGAGCGAAAGCAUGGGUAGCGAACAGGAUUAGAUACCCUGGUAGUCCAUGCCGUAAACGGUGGGCGCUAGGUGUGGGGUUCCUUCCACGGGCUCCGCGCCGUAGCUAACGCAUUAAGCGCCCCGCCUGGGGAGUACGGCCGCAAGGCUAA